CUGAUCACCCGCGCACCCCGUGUACAAAUAAUGAAAGCAUCCAAUUCAAAACGCGAGGUUUUUGUGUAGUGUGUAUAACCAACUACGGCUGCAGAAUAUACAGAGUCUCUGGUGUUGAUGGAAAGGAUUGUUUACCUAGAGGCAGCUUGGUAUGACAUGUUGCAAAGCAUUCUGUUUGAUUAACAGAUAAUAGAUACUGCAGACACUGAGCAAAUUAUACUUACCUAGCAGUUGCAGUAUUUCAGCCAUGGAGUCAUAAUCUUAGAAUAAAGUUCUCGGUGUUUAGGUGAAUCUGAGGAAAGUCCAAAAUAUUGCAACUGUUCCAGUUGUUUAAAUUGUAAGCAAAGACGUAUGCUGGCUUAAACACAUCAACAAGACAACAAAACACUCAUUUCAUAUGCUGGCUCCAGUGAUGUUAAUUCAGCUGCAGAUACUUCUGUUCUCAAAUAUUUAUCGACAGUACCUGUGUCAGAUGUACUGGCAAACAUGUUAUAUCUUCAUUUUUGUCGAGCCCGCUUGCGGAAGCAAAGAUAGAUGUCCAAAUGGCUGUUCUGUGUAUGUGCGUGUGUGCGUCCGUCCGUCCGUCAGGAUUUGUUUGUCCUGACCAUAACUUUGAUAUGCGUGGAGCAGUCUCGUUUAUUUUUGGCAUGAAUGUUAACCUCAGUGAGACGGAGUGUCAUGCGCAAACUGCAGGUUCCUAUCUCAAAGGUCAAGGUCACACUUGGAGGUCAAAGGUUAAAUUCAAUAAUGACUGUCCGGAGCAU
rnacentral:lncRNA from 1 species